rnacentral:rRNA from 1 species
UACGUAGGGUGCGAGCGUUCCUCGGAAUUACUGGGCGUAAAGCGUGCGCAGGCGGUUUUGUAAGACAGAUGUGAAAUCCCCGGGCUUAACCUGGGAACUGCAUUUGUGACUGCAAGACUAGAGUGCGGCAGAGGGGGGUAGAAUUCCACGUGUAGCAGUGAAAUGCGUAGAUAUGGGGAGGAAGACCGAGGGCGAAGGAAGAAAAAGGGGGCGACACUGACGCUCAUGCACGAAAGCGUGGGGCGCAAACAGG